rnacentral:rRNA from 1 species
AUUGAACGCUGGCGGCAGGCCUAACACAUGCAAGUCGAGCGAGCGGCGGACGGGUGAGUAAUGUCUGGGAAACUGCCUGAUGGAGGGGGAUCACUACUGUAAACGGUAGCUAAUACCGCAUACCAUCAGAUGUGCCCAGAUGGGAUUAGCUGGUAGGUGGGGUAACUGCUCCCCUAGGCGACGAUCCCUAGCUGGUGUGAGAGGAUGACCAGCCACACUGGAACUGAGACACGGUCCAGACUCCUACGGGAGGCAGCAGUGGAGAAUAUUGCACAAUGGGCGCAAGCCUGAUACAGCCAUGCCGCGUGUAUGAAGAAGGCCUUCGGGUGGUAAAGCACUGUCAGCGGGGAGGCGUUACCCGCAGAAGAAGCACCGGCUAACUCCGUGCCAGCAGCCGCGGUAAUUC